rnacentral:rRNA from 1 species
UACGUAGGGGGCAAGCGUUAUCCGGAUUUACUGGGUGUAAAGGGAGCGUAGGCGGUUUAGCAAGUCAGAAGUGAAAGCCCGGGGCCCAACCCCGGGACUGCUCUUGGAACUGCAUGGCUGGAGUACAGGAGGGGCAGGCGGAAUUCCUAGUGUAGCGGUGAAAUGCGUAGAUAUUAGGAGGAACACCAGUGGCGAAGGCGAUUUGCUGGACUGUAACUGACACUGAGGCAUGAGAGCAUGGGGAGCAAACAGG